rnacentral:lncRNA from 13 species
GACAGCAACUGCUGUUGAGUGAAUGGAAUGUCCGUGUGAUAAGAAGGUACCAUCAGACCUUUUGACUGCCACGAAGGUCUCAAGACCUCCUCUCUGUUAUUGAAGACAUUGAAGGCCUUGUCCAGCAAUGGGGGGAAAAAGAGUUUGUGGUCUCUGAUCUAAGUUUUCGAGUUUGUGUCUAAUGUCUGCAGAUGCCUGGU